rnacentral:rRNA from 1 species
UUCCAGCUCCAAUAGCGUAUAUUUAAGUUGUUGCAGUUAAAAAGCUCGUAGUUGGAUUUCGGGCGGGGCCUGCCGGUCCGCCUUUUGGUGUGCACUGGCAGGGUCCGCCUUGCUGCCGGGGACGGGCUCCUGGGCUUCACUGUCUGGGACUCGGAGUCGGCGUGGUUACUUUGAGUAAAUUAGAGUGUUCAAAGCAGGCUUACGCUCUGAAUACAUUAGCAUGGAAUAACGCGAUAGGACUCUGGCCUAUCUUGUUGGUCUGUGGGACCGGAGUAAUGAUUAAGAGGGACAGUCGGGGGCAUUCGUAUUUCAUUGUCAGAGGUGAAAUUCUUGGAUUUAUGAAAGACGAACUACUGCGAAAGCAUUUGCCAAGGAUGUUUUCAUUA